UACACAUGCAAGUCGAACGCGUGAAGGUGGGAGCUUGCUCCUGCUGGAUCAGUGGCGAACGGGUGAGUAACACGUGAGUAACCUGCCCUUGACUCUGGGAUAAGCGUUGGAAACGACGUCUAAUACCGGAUACGAGCUUCAGCCGCAUGGCUAGGAGUUGGAAAGAAUUUCGGUCAAGGAUGGACUCGCGGCCUAUCAGCUUGUUGGUGAGGUAAUGGCUCACCAAGGCGACGACGGGUAGCCGGCCUGAGAGGGUGACCGGCCACACUGGGACUGAGACACGGCCCAGACUCCUACGGGAGGCAGCAGUGGGGAAUAUUGCACAAUGGGCGCAAGCCUGAUGCAGCAACGCCGCGUGAGGGACGACGGCCUUCGGGUUGUAAACCUCUUUUAGCAGGGAAGAAGCGAAAGUGACGGUACCUGCAGAAAAAGCACCGGCUAACUACGUGCCAGCAGCCGCGGUAAUACGUAGGGUGCAAGCGUUGUCCGGAAUUAUUGGGCGUAAAGAGCUCGUAGGCGGUUUGUCGCGUCUGCUGUGAAAACGCGAGGCUCAACCUCGCGCCUGCAGUGGGUACGGGCAGACUAGAGUGCGGUAGGGGAGAUUGGAAUUCNCUGGUGUAGCGGUGGAAUGCGCAGAUAUCAGGAGGAACACCGAUGGCGAAGGCAGAUCUCUGGGCCGUAACUGACGCUGAGGAGCGAAAGCGUGGGGAGCGAACAGGAUUAGAUACCNCUGGUAGUCCACGCCGUAAACGUUGGGAACUAGA
rnacentral:rRNA from 1 species